rnacentral:rRNA from 1 species
UACGUAGGGCGCGAGCGUUGUCCGGAAUUAUUGGGCGUAAAGGGUGCGUAGGCGGUUGUUUAAGUCUGUCGUGAAAUCCCCGGGCUCAACCUGGGAAUGGCGAUGGAUACUGGACAGCUAGAGUGUGUCAGAGGAUGGUGGAAUUCCCGGUGUAGCGGUGAAAUGCGUAGAGAUCGGGAGGAACAUCAGUGGCGAAGGCGGCCAUCUGGGACAACACUGACGCUGAAGCACGAAAGCGUGGGGAGCAAACAGG